GACGUUCGAGGGGCAAAUGAGCUGUUCCAUGGAGCCUUGGGACAGAGCUGUAUUGCAGCAUGGAGCUGUGGGAGUCCUGGAGACGCGAGUCCAGAGCGCUGCCCUUGGAGUGACACACAGUCUGGGCUCCCAAUGUCUUCUACCAGUGACAACAAAACUAAGGAGUCAGACUGGUGGUUUUUAACCUGCGAAGUGACCAAGGGCACACGGCUCUGGGAUGCCUUCGAACAUCAUUUGUAAGUGUGGCACCUGCCAAGGGCAAGGCGAGGCAAGCUCACAUUGUCCCAUCACACGAGGAGCAGCUGUCCUUUGUCAGAGAAGUGUGACCUGCCGAGUCAACUGAAAUCUGAAGCACUGGAAAGGAAGAUCGGUGGGAAACUGAGGCAGUGUGGUAAAAUAGGCUCAUGUCAAGAUCACUUGCGAUCACUUUA